UGGUCGAUGAUGACGUGGCCACUGCGCAAUCUGAGUUCGUAGAACCAGGUGAUGGAGAGUGUGCUGAGCGGACUGAGACCA
rnacentral:snoRNA from 1 species